ACAGGAAGAUUCAGCGCUGCUGCAUCCACAGGCUGGUGAAAUGGCCAGGAAUAGUUGUGUCUCCACAUGGCUUUCAUGACCACCCUCCCAUUCAAAAGCAUACUUCAAACAGCCCCUGAAGCUAAAGAGACAUUCCAGUUUCUCCCCAUGUGUGUGGACAACAGUUUGGGUUGGAAGGAACUUUUUAAACAUCUAGUCCAACCCUUCUACCAUGGGCAGGGACCCAUUCCAAUAGACCAGGUUUAUGUCAUUCCUGCACUGAGGACCCUAGAGAUGGAAGCAAUACUCUAGGUGGGAUUUUCUGACAGUGGAACAGAGGGGCAGAAUCACUUCCCCGACCUGCUGGCCACACUUAGUUCACUGUAGUCAUUUACAGAAUGCAGAUGUCUUUCCUUGAACAGUACUGCCAUCAAGGUGAUAGGAGGAGGAUGUUUUUACUGGGAUGUAAGGAAUUCCUAUAUUUGAAGCAGAACAAGUACUAGAAACCUCAUUCAAUAAAGAAAAGCAAGGAAGGGGAGUGGAAUUCUCUGUAGGCCAGAGAAGUCCUGGAGAGUACAACAGUUGCUAAAACACCAUAAUGGAAAAAAGAACUAAUAUUUGAGGCCAGUGGGAAUAUUCCACCUCUCUAUGCCAAGGAGCCUGUGAAGGGAGCAGUGUAUCAGCAAAUGGAGAGGCUUAGUGAUUGCUACAAACAUAAAUCCACUGUGGUAUCCAUCCAGCACUGGAAUGUUCCAAAUGCAGAGAAAUUACUUGACUCAUUAACAGUGUGACCUUCUAGCAUUCUCUACUUGUCCUGCUGUUCUGUUUCUUCUUAUAGGGGGACUACUGAAAUGGAAACAAAGAGAUUUUUCUGUGGCUGCCACAGAACAGAGACAGCAGUUACUUCAGUAGUAUGGCAAGUACUCUUCCUUUCUGUUUGCAUAAUCCUAACAUAACUGAAAUAUUGCUCUGCUUAGAAUGAAGAAAAAUAAAUACACGUGUACAGAUCCAUAUGUAUAAUGUUUAUGUGAUUACUGUUAUUUUUAAUGGAAGUAUUUGUAUUGCUAACUGUAAUUGAGGAUUCUAUCUUGUUCCCUCUUUCUCUCUAUUAAAGUUAUGAUCUAGGAAAAUAUGAACAACUGAAAAAUCUGAUUUACUGUUUCAUAUUGCAUCUCAUUAAUUUUAAAGCUGCAUAAUUGUAAACUACAAUAAUAAUUCUGAACAAAUAUAUUUAUAGGCAGUUGAAUAGAUGGAUUGAGGAGCUGAAGUGGAGUCUUACAGGAUACUAAAGAUAUUCUAUGAACACUUUGUAGUACAUGCAUUAAUGGUAAAUUUUGAGAAGUGUGAAGUGUUGAUAGAUGGGAUGAACAGAGCUGGGAAUGAGCUUCAUUACAGCUGCAGCAGUUUGUAAAUACAAGGAGUAUGACAGCUUGUUCUUGCAGAAUAAGCACCUGCUCAUCGGCCAUGCUACCAAUAAAAAUGAAACACUGAGAGGAA